GUUGGUGUACUGUGGUGGUGGAUGCUUGUUUAGGCAUUGCCCAUUUGGACAAGAAUUAACUUAGAGGGAUCACGGGUUGUUCAUUUUGACUCCUCUACAUAUUGAUUUUACCCAUUUGGUCUUCUAUGAGUCAUUGCCCUACAAUCCAUUUGAGAAAGUUUUGUUGGUGUUGAGCAAGGAAAAGUUAUUUCAUAAUGCGGCAAAUAGGUUGCAUUGUUGCUUCUGCUAUUUCAUAAUGCAGCAAAUUCAAAAGGCUUUAGUUUUUGUAUGAUAUGCUCAUUACUUGCCUCUAGAGGAAUGUGUUUGAAGCUAAAGUGUUAAUUUUGAUAUCAUCAAUAGUUUUUCCCCCUUUUCUUUGUGGUUUAUUAGGUGGAGG
rnacentral:misc_RNA from 1 species